rnacentral:lncRNA from 1 species
UGUUAAGAAGUGGUAUCUUUCCAAGAUUCUAAACUCCUAAAUUUGGAAAAUUGUUUAUAUGAUUUUUUCCAGUCUAGGCACCAUACCAUAGUGGACAGAGAGACAGCUUCACAGUUAAGAAGACCUCGAUUGAUGAUUGCUGGUCCGCUGAAUCACCGCCUGCCACACACACUCUUGCUUGAUGGAAGAGUGAACCUGGGUAAAAGAAACCUGUCUGCCAUAAGAAAGGAAAACUUUGCCCCUUGAGGAAGAAACUUUCAUUUAUGUAUAGACCAUCAGAAUGGAAACUUCCACAUCAAGUGGCUCUCCUCCUGCAGAGGCUGGAAUUGAAAUCUUUUCUCACAAUUACAGAGCUGCAGGUGAGAUAUCUGUCUCUCACUCUAUAGACUGAGGCAAGCAGCAUGGGACUGACUCAGGUUGCCUUGCUAUGGAUUUUCUUUCAGAAAAUUAAAAUCUACCUUCUCUAAAUGGGACAAAAUGGAACAUGGAAUUGCAUCACAUUAUUUCUAGCAUUGCACUACAUCCAUCUGCAGUUUCCCAAAAUUCAGUCUUUAUAAAUUCUUAAGUAAUGAAUUCCUUUAAAAUUAUUCUGUAUUCUAGUUUUUUUCAAGUGAAAGAAUCUAAGAUCACCCUACCACUUUUACCAUACCCCUUCCAAAAAAAUAGUCAACUUCAGAAUAUAAGUAAAUUUUUGGCAUUUUUUUGGAAGGUUCUUUAAAAAGUAUAUAUGAUCAGGGUACAUACUCAUUAUUAGGAUAAGUAAUUUACUCAGAAAAGAUUUAAUAAAAAUCUUGAUUAAUAAUUUCA